GAGAAGUCAGGCGAGAUUCUGAAAGGUUGCAAAUUCCCCAUCCCACAAAAAUAAAACCAAGCAAACAAAUAUAAAAUAAAUCAAAACAACAACAAACCACAACCUUACUCAAUCAGAGCCUUUAUUUCCUUCAGCUGCAUCUUAACCACUUCCCUCCCUCCUCAGCUUCCUUUCCUCUCCUCCCAUUCCCCCCAGGCAUUUUCCUUUAAGCAUGAAGAUGUUGGAAGUGGCACAGGCUCUUUCUCAAACAUGUUUCACAGCUCUUUCUCUCCAUUUGGCACAAGUGAUCAAAACUGCAGCACUUGUACGUGGUCCUCCUCAACCUGCUGGCCACUCUUCUGUUGAUGGAGUCUGGGAUGCAGAUUGGCCUUCUGGACUGCAGUCACAGGGGACUUCACCUGGCUGCCAGGACUUCUCAAAUAUGAUGGAGAGAGGCUUGGUAGCUACAUCAGCCUGUUCCCUCAGGACCCUGGGAUGCAUGGCAUCAGGCCCCAUAGACUUAUACCUUCCACUAGAUCAAGUUGCUCAAAGAUCUUCCUUGAAAUUCCUAGUCUUUAGUGGCUCUCUAUGAUUAUUGUCACUAAGAGCAUGAGAAAACAAGGCUUGUUUCAUCCUUAGCAGUGUUAGCCAUUGUAUUUUCUUAACGUUUUCUUCUACCUUUUAAAAACAUUCCCAGAUUUGAUUACACUGCUUCCCUGCACACACCCCUCUGAGAUAAGCAAGAAAAAGAAAGCUUCAGGCUUUGACAUUCCUGGCCUGCUUCUGCACCUUCUAACUCAUCCACUUAAUGACUAUAGUAACAUAUUGUCUAUUACACCAGAUUUUCAGCUGAUCUAAAUCAGCAAAGCUGCAGUGACUUUAAUGGUGAUAGGACAUUUUGUAGCAGCUGGAGAUGAGGCUCAGUGUAUUACCUAGACCAGACUUCCAUCAUAAUUAUCUAAUUUAUGCCAUUGAAAGUGUGCUAUAAGCAAGGUGUCUGAGCUAAUGGUGAAGAAGUAAUCAUAACACUUGAAUUUAAUGUUUUUGAAUACUACCAGUCUCAUCUAGCUGUUUUAUGGCUCCCAUUGCCAGUACCUCAGAACUCUAGUCUGUCUUGUGUUAUUGCUGGACUUAGCUUGCUCUAGAAGUGAUCAGGACUCCCAUAGGAUGCCAGAUUUUCAUUUUGAAAAACACUGAGCUAUGCUGAUUUAGACAGUGCAAUUCUAGGAGCUUUACUCAUACACUUUGUCAUAGAAAGCUUUUGCAGGAGGUUCUCAAACAGAAAGCCCUUGAGUAAAGCUAUAAUCCUGCCUUGGAGCAAGAGGCAAUAGACCUGUCAGUAAUACGGUGGCAUGGGAAAUGAUGCUGUAAUUAAAGUUUGCUCAGCUUUUCCUUAAUAAAUUUCUAAAAUAGAGGCUUUUUAUGCUAAUAUAGCUGUUUUAAUUUAUGUUGUUUUGAAACUACACAAUCAGAUUGUCAGCUUUACUGUGAUCAUUUCUCCAUAAAUGUAUUUUGCAAAAGUAUGCUUAUGUGAUGUUGUAAAAUAAGAAGGAUUUUUAAAACUGCCAAACAAUUUCUUUGGGAAGCCUCUAAGCUCAGGUGCAAAACUAUGGAGACUGCACAUAACCACCUGUAUGUUUGCAGGUUGUUAUUCUUUAAAAUGCAAAAAAGACCUUUAAGUUGGAGGUUAUAAACAAUACUGGAUUCUAAGUAACUGCUAGUACAUGGACUAGCAUAAGAUCCUACUGAAGUCAGUUACUGGGUGGAAUUCAAUGUAAAACUUCUAUCUUUUAAUCUCAGCAUUAUUGUUUACAAAGCAUAUGUACCUGGCCUUCAUGUGGAUGUUGUUUGCUUGAAUGAUUUCUAUAAUAAAAACCCAUAGAGAAAUGAAAAUCUGCUCACAGUUUGAAGCAGGAGAAAUGGCAAAAAUUGCCACACAUGUCAUUAAAAAUUAGUAGUUCUCUUAGCUGUAGGGUUGACCUACUAAAUUAUGGUAUAAAGAUUCGCAGCCUCAGAAUUUUGCCUCUGGGAAGAAGCAGAGGAAUUAUUACUCUUUUAGUUUUUCUCCCCCUACUCCUUCCUCUGCUUACUACAGUUUGAAAUUGUCCUACCUCUUUUUAUGUAACAUUGGUUAACUCAUUCAGAAUUAUUUUCAAGUUUGUAUCUAUAUUCAGAAACAGCUACAGUUUAAGAAGCACACAAUGCUAUUUUAAAAGUUGAAGUGGUAUUUCAAGGGUGAAAUAAAUGUGUUAAGAGGUUGGCUAAAACCAGCUCAGACCAGACUUAGAGUAAGCAAGCAAAAAUUAGCCAUACUGAUUCAGUUUUGCUGGCAAGUCCUCCUCAUGCAGAUGGACAUAGCUCACUGUCCAGGCAUCUAUCAAAAAAAUCAGUUUCUGGAAAAAAACAAAAAACAAAAAAACGAACUCUAAAAUAUUUUCGUACCUGCAACUACGUUAACUUCAGCCAGAUGAAAAUAUCAGAAAGGGGAUCUCCCGCCCCCUCCUAACAUAGUUGUAUUGUCUGGAGGCAAAGUUUUAACAAAUGUGCUUCUUUACUACAGCAUUUAUUAAUGCUAGGUCUGUGAUCGACAGUAUUGUCUCGAACCACUAUUUGCAUCCACAUCAGUUGGGUGCGUUUUGUUUAACUGUAAAUGCACCAGUUUAUUUUCAUGUUAGAUAACCCUUCUUGUUCCCUCCCCAUGCUCUAGCUCUGGAUUUUGGUCCUUCUUCAACCUCUAGAUCAAUUUUGAAAUGCGGGUCAUUUUGAAAAGGGAAAAUAUAAAUGAAAAAAUGUAAUCAAAGCAUGUAGUUAUGUGUUUUCUCCCUGUUAUGUCACCAAAUAUACUGUUGCAAUUUGACUAAUAUGGAAAGCUGAUCACUCUCAAAAUGAUAGUCUUUGGUGAAUGCAUGGUUCAGGGAAAUGCACGAUUCAGGUUUAGCACUGAAUACGCUUCAGGUAUAACUUUUACAUACAGAGCUCUGCAGUAUUUCGAACUUCAGAUGAAAUUCUGAUUAACUUGUAUGGAGAUCAACAUAGUAAAGACUGGGUUCUUGACCUAGGUUAUUUAAUUUCAGCGAGGAAAGAUUGUUUGAAUGUAAAGUGCUUUCAGCAAGGUUUACAGCUUAGACAUUGCAGCAUAGUGCUCAUACAGACCAAGGAGUUAACCAGCAAUGCUUGCUUACCCAAUGCAGGAAAUGUGUAUGACCCUGCAACAUACACUUUGGGGAGUAUUAUUAAGAUCUCUUACCUGUAAACUGUUGGCUAUAAACUCAAUUAGUUCUUUUCAGCUCAGCAGGAAGUCAGAACAGGUAUUUUAAACUGUUCCUCCUUAAUCAGAUUUUGAGUUCAGAGAUGAUGAAAUGGAGCAAUUUCUUAUAUGAUAUUUUCCACUAGAACCAAAGAAUAGGAAUGAAUGGAAGGUAGAAGCUAGUGAUCAAACAGAUGGAGGAAAACCAUGGAUUUGUGUCUCUCCUUCAGUUCCUCUCUUGUGAUGGUAAACAUCACUAUUUUG